GCUGGAUCUGCAUUAAAUGUCGAAAGGAAGGCGGAGAGGGGUGAGACAAGAGGUGGGAGGUGAGGCAGGUGGGAGCCUGACCCUGGAGAACCCCGCAGGUGGUGCUUCUGACUUUCAGUUUCAGCUUUGACACCAGCAUGGAGCUGACUGUUUGUCCUUUGCUCUGGUAUUUAGAGAAAUGUGAUGCCCAAGACUUUGGAUGGGCAAAUAACCAUGGAGAAGACUCCAAGUUACUUUGUGACAAAUGAGGCUCCCAAGCGCAUUCACUCCAUGGCCAAGGACAUCAAACUGAUUGUGGUGGUGAGAAACCCCGUGACCAGGGCCAUCUCUGACUACACGCAGACACUGUCAAAGAAACCCGAGAUCCCCACCUUUGAGGUGCUGGCCUUCAAAAACCGGACCCUCGGGCUGAUCGAUGCUUCCUGGAGUGCCAUUCGAAUAGGGAUCUAUGCGCUGCAUCUGGAAAACUGGCUCCAGUAUUUCCCCCUCUCCCAGAUCCUCUUUGUCAGUGGUGAGCGACUCAUUGUGGACCCCGCCGGGGAAAUGGCCAAAGUACAGGAUUUUCUAGGCCUCAAACGUGUUGUGACUGAGAAGCAUUUCUAUUUCAACAAAACCAAGGGGUUCCCUUGCCUAAAGAAGCCGGAAGACAGCAGUGCCCCGAGGUGCUUAGGCAAGAGCAAAGGUCGGACUCAUCCUCGCAUUGACCCAGAUGUCAUCCACAGACUGAGGAAAUUCUACAAACCCUUCAACAUGAUGUUUUACCAAAUGACUG
rnacentral:sRNA from 1 species